GCUUGCUCACACCUGCUUUUACUCUGUGAGUUGUACUUUUGCUUCUUCAAUAAAUCUGUGCCUUUGUUACUCCGUUCUUUUGUUGUUUUGCUUGUGCGUUUUGUUUAAUUCUUUGUUUGAAACCCCAAGAACCUGGACAACUCACAGUCAAGACCUUCCGUCCGGUAACAAAGCAACAGACCUCAGUCAUGUCAUCUGCUUACAAAGGAGCCACGAAUCAAGACCGAUUCCGUGUGCUCUUGACGAUUCUGUUACACUCCUGCAGGUUUCCAUUCCUGUGUUAUGUUCAGAGAAUGCACUGUAUUUGCAUUUGAAAUGUGCCUACUUUGACAGUUCCUAGCAAUUGGUCAGUAGGAGGCUGGAGCUUGAAAAAUGCGUAGGAGGAAGGUGAAAUAGAAUGGGAUGGCUGCAAAGAGGAAGAGGGAGUGGGAAUCCCAAGCAAUUUUCAGUUUUGCUACCACUAAGAUUCUUUUUUUGUUUGUUUGUUUUUUGUUUUUUGAGACGAAGUCUUGCUCUUGUCCCUAAGGCUGGAGUGCAAUGGCAUGAUCUCGGCUCACUGGUUCAAGCGAUUCUCCUGCCUCAGUCUCCCGAGUAGCUGGGAUUGCCACC
rnacentral:lncRNA from 1 species